rnacentral:rRNA from 1 species
GUGAGGAAUAUUGCGCAAUGGAGGCAACUCUGACGCAGCCAUGCCGCGUGCAGGAAGAAGGCGCUACGCGUUGUAAACUGCUUUUAACUGGGAAGAAACCCCAGGACGUGUCCUGGGUUGACGGUACCGGAGGAAUAAGCACCGGCUAACUUCGUGCCAGCAGCCGCGGUAAUACGAAGGGUGCAAGCGUUAUCCGGAUUCAUUGGGUUUAAAGGGUGCGUAGGCGGAGCGUUAAGUCAGUGGUGAAAUCCUGCAGCUUAACUGUAGACUUGCCAUUGAUACUGGCGCUCUUGAGUGCGCUUGAAGUGGGCGGAAUGUGCCGUGUAGCGGUGAAAUGCUUAGAUAUGGCACAGAACACCAAUUGCGAAGGCAGCUCACUAAGGCGAUACUGACGCUGAGGCACGAAAGCGUGGGGAUCGAACAGGAUUAGAUACCCGGGUAGUCC